GACGAACGCUGGCGGCGUGCCUAAUACAUGCAAGUAGAACGCACAGUUUAUACCGUAGCUUGCUACACCAUAGACUGUGAGUUGCGAACGGGUGAGUAACGCGUAGGUAACCUGCCUGGUAGCGGGGGAUAACUAUUGGAAACGAUAGCUAAUACCGCAUAAUAUUAAUUAUUGCAUGAUAAUUAAUUGAAAGGUGCAAUUGCACCACUACCAGAUGGACCUGCGUUGUAUUAGCUAGUAGGGGAGGUAACGGCUCACCUAGGCGACGAUACAUAGCCGACCUGAGAGGCGGGUCGGCCACACUGGGACUGGGACACGGCCCAGACUCCUACGGGAGGCAGCAGUAGGGAAGCGUCGGCAAUGGACGAAAGUCUUACCGAGCAACGCCGCGUGAGUGAAGAAGGUUUUCGGUUCGUAAAGCUCGGUUGUAAGAGAAGAACGGGUGUGAGAGUGGAAAGUUCACACUGUGACGGUAUCUUACCAGAAAGGGACGGCUAACUACGUG
rnacentral:rRNA from 1 species